rnacentral:rRNA from 1 species
CGAACGGUAACAGGAAGCAGCUUGCUGCUUUGCUGACGAGUGGCGGACGGGUGAGUAAUGUCUGGGAAACUGCCUGAUGGAGGGGGAUAACUACUGGAAACGGUAGCUAAUACCGCAUAACGUCGCAAGACCAAAGAGGGGGACCUUCGGGCCUCUUGCCAUCGGAUGUGCCCAGAUGGGAUUAGCUAGUAGGUGGGGUAACGGCUCACCUAGGCGACGAUCCCUAGCUGGUCUGAGAGGAUGACCAGCCACACUGGAACUGAGACACGGUCCAGACUCCUACGGGAGGCAGCAGUGGGGAAUAUUGCACAAUGGGCGCAAGCCUGAUGCAGCCAUGCCGCGUGUAUGAAGAAGGCCUUCGGGUUGUAAAGUACUUUCAGCGGGGAGGAAGGCGAUAAGGUUAAUAACCUUGUCGAUUGACGUUACCCGCAGAAGAAGCACCGGCUAACUCCGUGCCAGCAGCCGCGGUAAUACGGAGGGUGCAAGCGUUAAUCGGAAUUACUGGGCGUAAAGCGCACGCAGGCGGUCUGUCAAGUCGGAUGUGAAAUCCCCGGGCUCAACCUGGGAACUGC